GACGAACGCUGCCGGCGUGCCUAAUACAUGCAAGUAGAACGCAGUUGCGAACGGGUGAGUAACGCGUAGGUAACUGCCUGGUAGCGGGGGAUAACUAUUUGAAACGAUAGCUAAUACCGCAUACUACCAGAUGGCCCUGCGUUGUAUUAGCUAGUUGGUGAGGGAACGGCUCACCAAGGCAACGAUACCUAGCCGAACGUGUAGGGUGAUCGGCCAAACUGGGACUGAGACACGGCCCAGACUCCUACGGGAGGCAGCAGUAGGGAAUCUGCGGCAAUGGGGGGAACCCUGACCGAUCAACGCCGCGUGAGUGAAGAAGGUUUUCGGAUCGUAAAGCUCUGUUGUUAAGGAAGCGGUACUUAACCAGAAAGGUACGGCUAACUACGUGCCAGCAGCCGCGGUAAUUC
rnacentral:rRNA from 1 species